UUUCGGGGGUACACGAGUGGCGAACGGGUGAGUAACACGUGAGUAACCUGCCCAUCACUUCGGGAUAACGCUAGGAAACUGGUGCUAAUACCGGAUAUGAGCNCUCAUCGCAUGGNGGGGGUUGGAAAGUUCUGGCGGNGGUGGAUGGACUCGCGUCCUAUCAGCUUGUUGGGGAGGUUGNGGCUCACCAAGGCGUCGACGGGUAGCCGGCCUGAGAGGGUGACCGGCCACAUUGGGACUGAGAUACGGCCCAGACUCCUACGGGAGGCAGCAGUGGGGAAUAUUGCACAAUGGGCGCAAGCCUGAUGCAGCAACGCCGCGUGCGGGAUGACGGCCUUCGGGUUGUAAACCGCUUUCACCAGGGACGAAGNGCCUUUCGGGGUGGGACGGGACCUGGAGAAGAAGCACCGGCNAACUACGUGCCAGCAGCCGCGGNGAUACGNAGGGGGCGAGCGGUGGCCGGAUUUAUCGGGCGGAAAAGAGCUCGCAAGGGGGGGAUCACCGNCGGAAGGGAAAACNNGGGGCUUAACCCNGGGNGGGGCNNNCCAUACGGGNNGACUNGAGGAAAGGGAGGGGGAGGAANGGGAAUNCCCGGNGGAGCCGGGGGAANGCGCAGAAAUAAGGAGGAACCCCGNGGGGAANGGGGGNCNCNGGACCNUNCCUNGANAGCNGANGAACCGAAAAG
rnacentral:rRNA from 1 species